rnacentral:rRNA from 1 species
AGUGAACGCUGGCGGUAGGCCUAACACAUGCAAGUCGAACGGCAGCACAGUAAGAGCUUGCUCUUACGGGUGGCGAGUGGCGGACGGGUGAGGAAUACAUCGGAAUCUACUUUUUCGUGGGGGAUAACGUAGGGAAACUUACGCUAAUACCGCAUACGACCUACGGGUGAAAGCAGGGGAUCUUCGGACCUUGCGCGAUUGAAUGAGCCGAUGUCGGAUUAGCUAGUUGGCGGGGUAAAGGCCCACCAAGGCGACGAUCCGUAGCUGGUCUGAGAGGAUGAGCUGCGACACCGGAAUGGAGGAACGUGCCAGACCCCUGCGAGAGGCAGCAGUGGGGAAUAUUGGAGGAAGGGCGCAAGCGUGAACCAGGCAUACCGCGUGGGUGAAGAAGGCAUUCGGGUUGUGAAACCCUUUUGUUGUGAAAGAAGUGAAGCACGUUAAUACCCCGCUGUUCUGACGGUACCCAAAGAAUAAGCACCGGCUAACUUCGUG